CUUCGGAUUGUAAAGCACUUUAAUUUGGGAGGAAGGGCAGUAAGCUAAUACCUUGCUGUUUUGACGUUACCGACAGAAUAAGCACCGGCUAACUCUGUGCCAGCAGCCGCGGUAAUACAGAGGGUGCAAGCGUUAAUCGGAAUUACUGGGCGUAAAGCGCGCGUAGGCGGUUUGCUAAGUCAGAUGUGAAAGCCCCGGGCUCAACCUGGGAACUGCAUUUGAAACUGGCAGGCUAGAAUGCAGUAGAGGGAGGUGGAAUUUCCGGUGUAGCGGUGAAAUGCGUAGAGAUCUGAAGGAACAUCAGUGGCGAAGGCGACUCACUGGGCCAUUACUGACGCUGAGGUGCGAAAGCGUGGGUAGCAAACAGGAUUAGAUACCCUGGUAGUCCAUGCCGUAAACGAUGUCUACUAGCCGUUGGGGCCUUUGAGGCUUUAGUGGCGCAGCUAACGCGAUAAGUAGACCGCCUGGGGAGUACGGUCGCAAGACUAA
rnacentral:rRNA from 1 species